rnacentral:rRNA from 1 species
UACGUAGGGUGCGAGCGUUUAAUCGGAAUUACUGGGCGUAAAGCGUGCGCAGGCGGUUCGUUAUGUCCGAUGUGAAAGCCCCGAGCUUAACUGGGAAUGGCAUUGGAAACUGGCGGGCUGGAGUGCGGCAGAGGGGGGUGGAAUUCCACGUGUAGCAGUGAAAUGCGUAGAGAUGUGGAGGAACACCGGUGGCGAAGGCGCUGCUCUGGGCCGAAACUGACGCUGAGGAGCGAAAGCGUGGGUAGCAAACAGG